UAAUUAGUUUGGCUCCGGCUCUCAAAUUUACUACCCUUCACCCCUACAUGCAUGCAAGCAAUUGCGCCCCCGCAAAACAAAGUAAUAGCGCAAACGCUUUCCUUAACGGACGCCCCUCCCUACUCCCUUCCCCUAUCAAACUCUACUCAAAACACACUUUUGCGCCUGCAGCAAAUAAUAUUGUUCCUAGGUACUACCGUGCGCCCCAGUGAGUGAAAAAAAUAUUGGAGAAGUCUGUGCCAGCAGCCGCGGUUACACAGACAAAUAUAAGUAAAUCCCUCCCCCCAGGCGUAACCUCUCCCCCGGGUAAAACAACAAAAACCAGGAGUCCAACCCGAACACACACCCCUUCCCCCACGAACCCAACUUCCCUCCUCCGCCGAAAACUCGGACAAAAACAAGGAUUAGAUACCCUUUUAUCCCAAGUUAUCAAAACUAGGGCAGUACGAACGUAAGUUUAAAACCCAAAGAGCUUGGCGGUGCUUCACCAAACUAGGGGAGCCUGUCGCUUAAUUCGAUAAUCCGCGAUAAACCCAACCUAAUCUUGACCCCCAGCCUGUGUAUUGCCGUCGCAGGCCUACCUCCAAAGAGAGUAGACACACAAGCCACAUUCAUCGCUACCACGUCAGGUAAAAUGCAGCCAAUGAUUAGGGGCUGAUAGGCUACAAUUCCCGAUUGUUACUGGAACCAGCGGGGAACCCCGUCGUGAAAAUGGACUUAGAAGUAAUUUUCACUCAUCACGUGAAAAUGAAACCUGCCAUCUUGAAGCGUGCACACAUCGCCCGUCACUCUCGCUGAGAAGUGAGAUAAGUCGUAACAUAGUAGGCGUACCGGAAGGUGCGCCUC
rnacentral:rRNA from 1 species